AUUAUAGGUAGAAUCAUUAUGGGAAUCGCAAAUGCUGUGAAAUAACAUUUUUUUCUUGUUGUUAAGGUCUCUUUAUCCAGGUGGAUCUUCCAAAAUGUGAUGUUAAUUCAUGCACUUCCUAACAAGUCUAAUACCUCUCCCAGCAGAGGUAUGCCUGCAGUGCAAAUCCAAGGAAUGACUGCUGUUCGUGGAAGUAUCCAUCUCACAGAUGGGCUCCAGCCACUGAUCAGAAGCCAGUGGAGCUGUAGAUGUGGAUUGUAAAGAAGUCUGUUCAUAUUUUACAAACAGAAGGAUGCAGCUUUCUCCCUGUGUAUUUGUAGCUUAGAAAGAAUGAGCCAACCCCAGC
rnacentral:lncRNA from 1 species